rnacentral:rRNA from 1 species
GACGAACGCUGGCGGCGUGCUUAACACAUGCAAGUCGAACGCUGAAGCCUGGAGCUUGCUCUGGGUGGAUGAGUGGCGAACGGGUGAGUAACACGUGAGUAACCUGCCCCUGACUCUGGGAUAAGCGCUGGAAACGGUGUCUAAUACUGGAUACGACCCCUCACCGCAUGGUGUGGGGGUGGAAAGAUGUUUCGGUUGGGGAUGGGCUCGCGGCCUAUCAGCUUGAUGGUGAGGUAACGGCUCACCAUGGCGACGACGGGUAGCCGGCCUGAGAGGGUGACCGGCCACACUGGGACUGAGACACGGCCCAGACUCCUACGGGAGGCAGCAGUGGGGAAUAUUGCACAAUGGGCGCAAGCCUGAUGCAGCAACGCCGCGUGAGGGAUGACGGCCUUCGGGUUGUAAACCUCUUUUAGUAGGGAAGAAGCGUAAGUGACGGUACCUGCAGAAAAAGCACCGGCUAACUACGUG